rnacentral:misc_RNA from 1 species
UUUCUAUUCAAGUAACAAAAUAAAACAUAUUGUUAUUGCAUCUAUCUAAAAAUGAACUGUGGUACAUUAAAUAGCAACACUUCAUCAAUCUGUACAUCGACCUAUACCAUUUGCUAUGAAGAAGGACCAAGGUUCAUGUAACAUACACAAUUGUCAUAUCAAAUGGGUAACUAUUUAGGUAUUAAUAACUGCCACAAUCGUAAGAUGUAGUUGUUUACAAUUGAAUGGUGCACAUAACUGCAGUGUUAAAAUCCAAAGGGCAAUGAAAUGGUGGCUUUGUAAUGAGUGAUCUCCAUGUCUUCUUCCUGGGAUGGUAGAUUUGGAUGAAAAUUGAUCCAGCCCCCUUCUGCUGUCUUGACCUUCGACUUUCUGUUGAAUCACCUCCUUUCAGGAAAGUCAUUACAUGCAGCUCCCCAUCCAUCACAACAAAACCACAUGAGGAGUUGCAAGGAGCUUUUCUUGGUACCGCAGACUCAUUUUGCCAAGAGUUUGAAACCAUGUCAUACCUGUAACGCAGAAAAGCAUGAAUGGAUAAUGUGUAUCACCAAUUAAACUUCAAAAAUGUAGCAUUUAUAACCAACAGAAAAGUAAUUACAUGAAAAGUUUGCAUCAGUCCCAUAAAUUCUGCAUCGCUUUUUUUCCUUUAUCAAUCUUUGUUUAACAAAUGUCCAAUGCAGAUAACACAGCUUGAGAAGUUGCAAGACUUGAGAAAUUUAAUAGUACAGUCUAGAUGGUACAUUUGUCUUAUUCAGGAUGUUAUUGAGUAAUUUCUAGUCCUUAACAAAUCUUGUAAGCUCAUUCAAGAAAAUUAGUUGCUGGUCCUGUGUCCCGUAAUUUGUAAUAUAGCAUCUUGGUCUUUACUUAUAAACUAGGAAGCAAGAAAACAAACUACUAAACGACACAUCAGCCACACUGACCCGCAAAACUGGCUCUUAAGACAUCAGAAGGGUCUCCCAUAUGUAAAUAACCCACUUAGCUUGCAGGAAAUCAACACAGAUAUUUGCCCCCGAGUAACCAUGAGACAAUUAACAUAUCCAAUCCAUUGCAAUUAGCAUGCUCUCAGCAGUCUUGCAUCAAACCACUUAAUCUUACUUGUUUUGUACUUGGACUCAGGGUCCAAGUUGGGUUUGGAACACCAUAUCUAUAUCCAUAUAAUUUCCUUCAAUUUCAGUUUAUCAAAAUGAUAUGAUAAUUUUAAAGCUUCUUCAUGUUAAGCAAGCAAUUCAGCCCCAGGUGAUGCCAGAGGACUUUUAGGUGUGUAAAACUUAAAAAAACUUUUAUCUAAUCUUCAGUUUUCCAAGCAGUUAUGUUCUCAGUUCAGAUUGUUUUUUCCCCAAAAAAAACUUAAAAUUCUUCAAUUGAGACUCGCGCUACCCACAUAAUCCUUGCCGUUGUUCUAUGUAAUCGUAAUAACAUAAUUUACUAUACAAUUGGAUAAAAACCCUCAAAUCAUCUACUACUAAAGACAUUUGAAGAAUAAAAAGCCAAGCAAAUUUUGCCACCAAGUGGAUUGUGUAAAAAGUUAUAAUCUGAGAAUUUCAACUUCAGCAUUCUAAUACUUUUGUAACUAAAGAGGCAGCAGUAUAAUGAAAACAGAAACUAAAACACCACCUCGAAACAGAGGAGAGGAAAGGACGAGAGCUCACAUCAAAAUCCAUAAUUGAAGCUAAACAUUAUCAAUUUGCAUGUAUAUGAAAGGUAUGAUCCACCAUAGAUCACGCCAAUAUUUCUCAACUUACCUCUUGCAUACGGUAUUUAAAGUUUCAAAGAAUUUGAUGAGCUCAAGUGAAAACCCAUAGGAGUGGUUUUAGAAUUUAUUUUUGAAUUACGGAAGUUAUCUAGUGUUAUCCUGAUACUAAUGAUC